rnacentral:rRNA from 1 species
AGAGUUUGAUCCUGGCUCAGGACGAACGCUGGCGGCGUGCCUAACACAUGCAAGUCGAACGGGGUGAGGCCCUUCGGGACCUUUACCUAGUGGCGAACGGGUGAGUAACGCGUGAGGAACCUGCCUUUCAGUGGGGGACAACAGUUGGAAACGACUGCUAAUACCGCAUAAAGCUUUUGGGAGACAUCUCCUGAAAGCCAAAGCUUAAUGUGCUGAAAGAUGGCCUCGCGUCUGAUUAGCUAGUUGGUGGGGUAACGGCCCACCAAGGCGACGAUCAGUAGCCGGUCUGAGAGGAUGAACGGCCACAUUGGGACUGAGAUACGGCCCAGACUCCUACGGGAGGCAGCAGUGGGGAAUAUUGGGCAAUGGGCGAAAGCCUGACCCAGCAACGCCGCGUGAAGGAAGAAGGCCUUCGGGUUGUAAACUUCUUUUACCAGGGACGAAGGACGUGACGGUACCUGGAGAAAAAGCAACGGCUAACUACGUGCCAGCAGCCGCGGUAAUACGUAGGUUGCAAGCGUUGUCCGGAUUUACUGGGUGUAAAGGGCGUGUAGGCGGAGAUGCAAGUUAGGAGUGAAAUCUAUGGGCUCAACCCAUAAACUGCUUCUAAAACUGUAUCCCUUGAGUAUCGGAGAGGCAAGCGGAAUUCCUAGUGUAGCGGUGAAAUGCGUAGAUAUUAGGAGGAACACCAGUGGCGAAGGCGGCUUGCUGGACGACAACUGACGCUGAGGCGCGAAAGCGUGGGGAGCAAACAGGAUUAGAUACCCUGGUAGUCCACGCUGUAAACGAUGAAUACUAGGUGUGGGGGGACUGACCCCCUCCGUGCCGCAGUUAACACAAUAAGUAUUCCACCUGGGGAGUACGACCGCAAGGUUGAAACUCAAAGGAAUUGACGGGGGCCCGCACAAGCAGUGGAUUAUGUGGUUUAAUUCGACGCAACGCGAAGAACCUUACCAGGACUUGACAUCCAACUAACGAAGUAGAGAUACAUCAGGUGCCCUUCGGGGAAAGUUGAGACAGGUGGUGCAUGGUUGUCGUCAGCUCGUGUCGUGAGAUGUUGGGUUAAGUCCCGCAACGAGCGCAACCCCUAUUGUUAGUUGCUACGAAAGAGCACUCUAGCGAGACUGCCGUUGACAAAACGGAGGAAGGCGGGGACGACGUCAAAUCAUCAUGCCCCUUAUGUCCUGGGCUACACACGUAAUACAAUGGUGGCCAACAGAGGGAAGCGAAGCCGUGAGGCGGAGCAAAUCCCUAAAAGCCAUCUCAGUUCGGAUUGCAGGCUGCAACUCGCCUGCAUGAAGCUGGAAUUGCUAGUAAUCGCGGAUCAGCAUGCCGCGGUGAAUACGUUCCCGGGCCUUGUACACACCGCCCGUCAAGCCAUGAAAGCCGGGGGCGCCUGAAGUCCGUGACCGCAAGGAUCGGCCUAGGGCGAAACUGGUAAUUGGGGCUAAGUCGUAACAAGGUA